GGAUUUUUUUUUUUUUGGGGUGUUUUUUUGUUAAGGUAAUCUGGCGGUAGGCCUAACACAUGCAAGUCGAACGGCAGCACAGAGGAGCUUGUUCUUUGGGUGGCGAGUGGCGGACGGGUGAGGAAUACAUCGGAAUCUACUCUGUCGUGGGGGAUAACGUAGGGAAACUUACGCUAAUACCGCAUACGACCUACGGGUGAAAGCAGGGGAUCUUCGGACCUUGCGCGAUUGAAUGAGCCGAUGUCGGAUUAGCUAGUUGGCGGGGUAAAGGCCCACCAAGGCGACGAUCCGUAGCUGGUCUGAGAGGAUGAUCAGCCACACUGGAACUGAGACACGGUCCAGACUCCUACGGGAGGCAGCAGUGGGGAAUAUUGGACAAUGGGCGCAAGCCUGAUCCAGCCAUACCGCGUGGGUGAAGAAGGCCUUCGGGUUGUAAAGCCCUUUUGUUGGGAAAGAAAUCCAGCCGGCUAAUACCUGGUUGGGAUGACGGUACCCAAAGAAUAAGCACCGGCUAACUUCGUGCCAGCAGCCGCGGUAAUACGAAGGGUGCAAGCGUUACUCGGAAUUACUGGGCGUAAAGCGUGCGUAGGUGGUCGUUUAAGUCCGUUGUGAAAUCCCUGGGCUCAACCUGGGAACUGCAGUGGAUACUGGGCGAUCUAGAGUGUGGUAGAGGGUAGCGGAAUUCCUGGUGUAGCAGUGAAAUGCGUAGAGAUCAGGAGGAACAUCCAUGGCGAAGGCAGCUACCUGGACCAACACUGACACUGAGGCACGAAAGAGCGCC
rnacentral:rRNA from 1 species